UACGUAGGGGGCUAGGGUUGUCCGGAAUCAUUGGGCGUAAAGAGCGGGUAGGCGGCCCGGUAAGUCCGCUGUAAAAGUCAAAGGCUCAACCUUUGAAUGUCAGUGGAUACUGCCGGGCUAGAGUCCGGAAGAGGCGAGUGGAAUUCCUGGUGUAGCGGUGAAAUGCGCAGAUAUCAGGAGGCACACCAAUUGCGAAGGCAGCUCGCUGGGACGUUACUGACGCUGAGACGCGAAAGCGUGGUGAGCAAACAGG
rnacentral:rRNA from 1 species